rnacentral:rRNA from 1 species
UACGCAGGUGGCAAGCGUUGUCCGGAUUUACUGGGCGUAAAGAGCGCGCAGGCGGUCGAUUUAGUCGUGUGUGAAAGCCCCCGGCUCAACUGGGGAGGGUCACGCGAUACUGAUCGACUCGAAGGCAGGAGAGGGUAGUGGAAUUCCCGGUGUAGUGGUGAAAUGCGUAGAUAUCGGGAGGAACACCAGUGGCGAAGGCGGGUCUCUGGACAGUUCCUGACACUGAGGCACGAAGGCCAGGGGAGCAAACGGG